rnacentral:rRNA from 1 species
GACGAACGCUGGCGGCAGGCUUAACACAUGCAAGUCGAGCGCAUUCCUUCGGGAGUGAGCGGCGGACGGGUGAGUAACGCGUGGGAACGUGCCCUCUUCUACGGAAUAGCCCAGGGAAACUUGGAUUAAUGCCGUAUACGCCCGCCGGGUCGAACCGGUUGGGAAAGAUUUAUCGGAAGGGGAUCGGCCCGCGUUGGAUUAGGUAGUUGGUGGGGUAAUGGCCUACCAAGCCGACGAUCCAUAGCUGGUUUGAGAGGAUGAUCAGCCACACUGGGACUGAGACACGGCCCAGACUCCUACGGGAGGCAG